rnacentral:rRNA from 1 species
AGUGAACGCUGGCGGUAGGCCUAACACAUGCAAGUCGAACGGCAGCACAGUAAGAGCUUGCUCUUACGGGUGGCGAGUGGCGGACGGGUGAGGAAUACAUCGGAAUCUACUUUUUCGUGGGGGAUAACGUAGGGAAACUUACGCUAAUACCGCAUACGACCUACGGGUGAAAGCAGGGGAUCUUCGGACCUUGCGCGAUUGAAUGAGCCGAUGUCGGAUUAGCUAGUUGGCGGGGUAAAGGCCCACCAAGGCGACGAUCCGUAGCUGGUCUGAGAGGAUGAUCAGCCACACUGGAACUGAGACACGGUCCAGACUCCUACGGGAGGAAGCAGUGGGGAAUAUUGGACAAUGGGGGCAAGCCUGAUCCAGCCAUACCGCGUGGGUGAAGAAGGCCUUCGGGUUGUAAAGCCCUUUUGUUGGGAAAGAAAAGCAGCAGGUUAAUACCCCGCUGUUCUGACGGUACCGAAAGAAUAAGCACCGGCUAACUUCGUG